rnacentral:hammerhead_ribozyme from 1 species
AUCUAGCUGACGAGUCCCGAAAUUGGAUGAAACGCUCUUCCUAGAU